CAGAAGCCAAGAUGGACCUCGGUUCCUCUCUGUCCUUGUUCUGCUUUCCCAGGUGGAGCUGAGGUGCUGUCUGAAGCUGGUUGCCCGAGAUGCCAGGGCUGCUGCCUCGUCACUCUGCCCACUCUGGUGGCUGCGCUGCCAGGAGCAGCACGUCGUGUCACUUCUUGACGCGUGCCGCCUCCAGGGGAGAGACACCUCUGACAGCUGGCCAGGGAACGGCCCUGAUGGCAACUGUCAGAACACCCCAUAGCCUGCACUUUCGAGCAGGAGAGAGAAAAUUUCACUGCUGCAAUAAGACAACAGACAAUACGCUUGAAACUAAACUAACCUUAACCAGUUUCUAAAAGAAGAAGACAGCGUGAUCUCAGUGGCACACAAUCCUGAAAAUAUAAUUGAGCGCACUGCAGCUGGGGACGGAGCCAGGAAAUGGAGUGAGAUGGCUGUUCAUCAAUAAAAACAAUAUUGAAAAGGAGGCCUCGUCCUCUGGCUCCAUGACAGUUAGCCUGCCUUUGCUUCUUCAUCCUGCCUUGAGAGAAACAAAGAGAAAAAGAAAAUCCCCAUUUAAAUCAAAGAAAGAGGAGGAAAUUCAUGUUUGAUUCUCACUUCUGGAAAACAAUCCAUAUUUAGGUUCUCAUCUGAUCUUCCAGACUGUUCACUUGAACAUUUGCGCUACCAGAAAAAGUUAUAUGGUGCCAAAGUCAGAGCCAAGGGGUUGCCCAGAAGUCUGGUGUCAUAGGAGAGAGGCCAAAAAGCAAACCAAACCGAGAGGUGAUAUAUAAAAUUCUUAUACAAAAAUAUUUUCCUAUCAUUUUGAAAUUCCUGUAUUAAUAAAUCCUUUGGGUUAAGAUAUUGUUGCUAUUUUAAUAAAAUACAAAAUGAUAGGAUUAUUGCCUGAGAUUACUAUUGGCCAACAACCAUGAAUACUUGAAUGAACUAACCACAUUGUUCCUUUUUCCCCCUAGAAAGACUGAAAGAAGGAAUUGACAUGGGAGGCAGGCAAAGGAGAAAGGGUCUAUAACCUUUCCUUGCAAUCGGGGGUCUUUGGCUGUCGGAAGGUAGGUAGGAGGGAAAGUGCCAGAAAGAAGCAGGGAAAGACAUCGGAACGAUGCUGAUGGAAAUGUUCACAGUCAACUUUAGGAGAGUAGGUCGUCGGGUCAGUUUGACUCCCCUAACUGGGCUAAGAUGGUCUUGUUUCUUGUAGCUGUUGCAAGAAUUGGCACGGUAGGGGGUCUUGGCUUUUUGCAAAAUACCCCUACUCUAAGAAUAGGCCAAAGAAAGAGGCAGAGAGUGAUGUUGCUGGGACAAGUACCAAGACAAAGAGAUUUUCAGAUUUCUGGGGACAAGAAGAAACCAUGUGAAAGGAAUUUUCCCUUCAACACGUAUACACACACACACACACACACACACACUCCUCCGAGUAUGUAUGUAUGCAUGUGGUUAGCAGCGGCUGCAUUAAUUAGCCCAGCAGCAUCAGUUUUAAAUUAAAACAAUUUAAAAUGUAGCAGCAGCAAACAUGGCAAUGGGACACAGUCUUAAAAUGAGCACACGAACAGAAAACGGGGAAUUAGAGGCCGAGCCAUUUCAAAAAGUGAAUCCAGACCAUAUGGAGCUGAGGACUGGAGGAGUCAGGCGAAGCUGCAAGCAUCUGGGAUGCUAAGAGUUUCCUCUUGUGGAGCGGAGGCGUGGAGGGGUGCAGUGGGGAAACAGGAGGAAGGGACGUUUGCCAACCCAUCAACAGGUCUGGUGGCAGGGCCAGAUGGCCUCCUACCAGAGGGCUGGGUUCUCGAGACAGUGGCCUUUGGGCAGAAGGGGAGGAGAACAGCCCCGCGGUUUCCCGAAGACAAUGAGGAAGGAGAAACAGCCCCUGGGGCUGCUGGCUCCUGCGCCUGCCGCCUGCAGAUCAGAUGCCAAGGCUCCCCGGACAGGAAAUGAGUGAGACUCCUGGGAGAAUAGCUCAGAGAUUCAAGAGGAAAUCAUAGGCCCUGGCAACAAUAGGAAGAAGAGAGGGUGGGGCAGAGGAAAGAGUUUGUUUGCUUAAUGUGGACCUCUUAAAGGUCGGUGAUAAACGUUUGCAAAAGUCCUGGGGCUGACUCCACAAACAGAUCUUCAGAGAACCUGAGGGAUAAAGUUUCCUGUGCCUGGCACAGGGGAUCUAG